rnacentral:rRNA from 1 species
UACGUAGGGGGCUAGCGUUGUUCGGAAUUACUGGGCGUAAAGCGCGCGUAGGCGGACCUGCAAGUCGGGGGUGAAAGCCCGAGGCUCAACCUCGGAACUGCCUUCGAUACUGCGGGUCUCGAGUCCGGGAGAGGUGAGUGGAAUUCCUAGUGUAGAGGUGAAAUUCGUAGAUAUUAGGAAGAACACCAGUGGCGAAGGCGGCUCACUGGCCCGGUACUGACGCUGAGGCG